CCCUUAGAUGUUCGGGGCAGCACGCGCGCUACAAUGGUCUUCGCAAACGGAUGCAUUCUCGAAGGAGAAUGCCAAUCUUGGAAUCUAUGCCUUGGUCGGGACAGUUGCUUGCAAUUUUUCGACUCGAACCAGGAAUUCCUUGUAAUCGUGAUUCAUCACAUCACGAUGAAUACGUCCCUGCCCUUUGUACACACCGCCCGUCGCUCCUACCGAUCGAAGAGUUAGGUGAAUUGUUUUGAUCGAUAAGAUUUGACUAUGGUCAACUCUCGUUGUGAAAUUCUGUGAAUCUGACUGUUUAGAGGAAGGAAAAGUCGUAACA
rnacentral:rRNA from 1 species